GAUGAACGCUGGCGGCGUGCCUAAUACAUGCAAGUCGAGCGACCAGACGAGGAGCUUGCUCCUCUGACGUUAGCGGCGGACGGGUGAGUAACACGUGGAUAACCUACCUCUAUGACUGGGAUAAUUUCGGGAAACCGGAGCUAAUACCGGAUAAUAUAUUGAACCGCAUGGUUCAAUAGUGAAAGACGGUUUUGCUGUCACUUAUAGAUGGAUCCGCGCCGCAUUAGCUAGUUGGUAAGGUAACGGCUUACCAAGGCAACGAUGCGUAGCCGACCUGAGAGGGUGAUCAGCCACACUGGAACUGAGACACGGUCCAGACUCCUACGGGAGGCAGCAGUAGGGAAUCUUGCGCAAUGGGCGAAAGCCUGACGGAGCAACGCCGCGUGAGUGAUGAAGGUCUUCGGAUCGUAAAACUCUGUUAUUAGGGAAGAAAAAAUGUAUAAGAAACUAUGCACGUCUUGACGGUACCUAAACAGAAAGCCACGGCUAACUACGUG
rnacentral:rRNA from 1 species